AAAAUCCCUCCCGACAUCCUUCCGACACAUCCGAUGUGACAUCCAGAAAAUUUUCGUUCCCAAUCUAAACAGGCCCUUACUCACAGCCACCAUUGCCUUCUCGCUUAUGCCAUGCCCACACACCCCCAUGGUUGCCUAUGUUAUUUUUUUUGUUUUCACCCCUUAAUAUUCUAUAUCUGGAUCCUUUUUUAACCACAUAAAGUAUUUUUAUUACUGCAAGUUAAACACAUGUAUGAAUUAUAAUGGAGGCCAGUUUUUUUUUAUAAGGGUGAGAGAGGCCAGUUUUAGAGUGGAGGAGCUUAAAAUUGGUAAUCUGAAGCUGUUUAUGCAGAAUUUUAGCACUCCUAAGUUCUCUCUUGUCAUCUCUCAUUCUCUCUGCGAUAGUUAGGUCGUUGUAUCUCAUCCUUUUUUAGUCAUCCUUUUCCGUUUCCUUGUUCCUGUUUUCUAUAUUUUUAACAAAGUUACAUAAAAAGGUUUUGUCCUUAUAAGAAAAAAGGAGUAUGCGCGUUGAUCUAGUGCCGUGAUGCCGCUUCUAAACUAGCCAACAUUUGUUUCUCUCACCACCGUACGUGUGCGUACGCUAGCCGUUAAAAAUACUAGUAGCCUAUUUUCUUGUUUAGUUCCUCAUCAAAACCUAAAAUUUUUUAAGAUUUUUUAUCA
rnacentral:lncRNA from 1 species